rnacentral:rRNA from 1 species
UACGGGGGGGGCAAGCGUUGUUCGGAAUUACUGGGCGUAAAGGGCUCGUAGGCGGCCAACUAAGUCAGACGUGAAAUCCCCAGGCUCAACCUGGGAACUGCGUCUGAUACUGGAUGGCUUGAAUUCGGGAGAGGGAUGCAGAAUUCCAGGUGUAGCGGUGAAAUGCGUAGAUAUCUGGAGGAAUACAGGUGGCGAAGGCGGCAUCCUGGACCGACAUUGACGCUGAUGAGCGAAAGCUAGGGGAGCAAACGGG